CAGAGGACCACUGCCGCGCGGGUCCUGUCUUGCUUCCCCGCGUCUGCAGUACCAGUUCUGGCAUGAGGAGGAGACUGCUGAGCUGUGCAGUGUGAUAGUCUGACAGUUAUAGUUCGGAUACAAACUUAAAACAAACAGUUUGCAGUUAAAAUUACCGUUUAUCAUCCACAGUUCAAGCUGGAAAUAGUUGAGUUGAAGUGCCCCACCUGUCCGGACUGAGAGCCAUCAUAUUGUUGUCCCAAACAGGUUGCAGUGAGAUUGGUCAGGUUUUUUUCUUUAUGCUGGAUUAUUCCUGAGGUGGAUUCCUCCGGUGAUUGAUGGCGAGCCUUCCCACCUGGACUUAGAGAAAGAACUGGAUUCAUUCUUUUCCAUUUUUAGUCCUGCUGCACCCUGCAGUGUGGUAGGCCUGUUUCACUCACAUCUUCACGCACAGUUGGUUAUGCACGGGACCAUUGACUGACAUUUUUUCACUUUUAUUGUUUCAUUCUGGGAUUUAGGACCUUAUUUUUUUUAC